AACGAACGCUGGCGGCAGGCCUAACACAUGCAAGUCGAGCGCCCCGCAAGGGGAGCGGCGGACGGGUGAGUAACGCGUGGGAAUAUGCCCUUUGCUACGGAAUAGUCUCGGGAAACUGGGGGUAAUACCGUAUACGCCCUUUGGUGGAAAGAUUUAUCGGCGAAGGAUUAGCCCGCUUUGGAUUAGGUAGUUGGUGGGGUAAUGGCCUACCAAGCCGACGAUCCAUAGCUGGUUGUAGAGUAUGAUCAGACACACUGGGACUGAGACACGGCCCAGACUCCUACGGGAGGCAGCAGUGGGGAAUCUUAGAAAAUGGGGGCAACCCUGAUCUAGCCAUGCCGCGUGAGUGAUGAAGGCCUUAGGGUUGUAAAGCUCUUUCAGCUGGGAAGAUAAUGACGGUACCAGCAGAAGAAGCCCCGGCUAACUCCGUG
rnacentral:rRNA from 1 species